UGGUGGAAAACCAAAAUAAUGGUUGAAAAUUUGAGCGAAAACAUUUGGUGAGCGGUCCGCACUCGUUUGAUUCGGACAUUAAUUUUCGGGUGCAAAUCAAAUGUUGCAGUUCAGAUACCAGCGUUUUUUGGACAAAAAAGUAUAGAGUUAUACUUUCCGGGAUACUGAUGACAAAAUUAAAAAGUUGAAACCAAUGACCAAGAGCAGUGUCGUAGAGAAUCCCAACGGGAACCUUCAGAUGAACGGAUGGCAAAUUAUAUGCAGCUGGAAUUUCUGGCGGAAGCUGCUGCCUGCGAAACUAUUUCCAGCUGGGAACUUAUUUGACCGCAACAAAUCAGGAAUAAAUCUUCCGGGAUGAAAAUGUCGGAAAAAAUGACGGCAACUGGAUGAGCUCAUUUACGAUUAAAUGUUGUAUUUCCAAAGUUUGUUCACAAUCAGAAAUACAUGCAACUUGGUGACUUCAAUUUCUUCCCGGACAGCUGAUAAGACAAUCAUAAGAUGCAGUUUAUGCCCAAAGGUUGCAAAAAGUUUAGCCGAAAGAUUGAUCCAGCAUUCAUGAAGGGAAAGAUUUUUGAAAAUAUCUAAGCCCUGACGUGGAUGUUAGAAUCGGAGUAACUGAUGGAUUAAUGUUCCGAGCCGAGUUGGUUUAAUACUCAGUAAUCCGUCCGCCCUAGUUUGCUGACCCAGCCUUCCGGACCCUAGAAAUGUAGGUUAUAAAUUUUGAUCAAAAUAACACGAUUUAGCGGUCUCU